AAUUAAUGAUGAAAGAUAUCCUGAAGCCAAUUAUUUGACAGAAUGUACAGAUUUAGCUUCUGAGAU